AGCGAACGCUGGCGGCAGGCUUAACACAUGCAAGUCGAGCGGGCACUUCGGUGUCAGCGGCAGACGGGUGAGUAACACGUGGGAACGUACCCUUUGGUUCGGAAUAACGCUGGGAAACUAGCGCUAAUACCGGAUACGCCCUUUUGGGGAAAGGCUUGCUGCCGAAGGAUCGGCCCGCGUCUGAUUAGCUAGUUGGUGGGGUAAUGGCCUACCAAGGCGACGAUCAGUAGCUGGUCUGAGAGGAUGAUCAGCCACACUGGGACUGAGACACGGCCCAGACUCCUACGGGAGGCAGCAGUGGGGAAUAUUGGACAAUGGGCGCAAGCCUGAUCCAGCCAUGCCGCGUGAGUGAUGAAGGCCUUAGGGUUGUAAAGCUCUUUUGUCCGGGACGAUAAUGACAGUACCGGAAGAAUAAGCCCCGGCUAACUUCGUG
rnacentral:rRNA from 1 species